rnacentral:rRNA from 1 species
UACGUAGGGCGCAAGCGUUAUCCGGAAUUAUUGGGCGUAAAGCGCGUGUAGGCGGUCCGGUAAGUCCGCUGUGAAAGUCGGGGGCUCAACCCUCGGAUGCCGGUGGAUACUGUCGGGCUUGAGUACGGAAGAGGCAAGUGGAAUUCCUGGUGUAGCGGUGAAAUGCGCAGAUAUCAGGAGGAACACCAAUUGCGAAGGCAGCUCGCUGGGACGUUACUGACGCUGAGACGCGAAAGCGUGGGGAGCAAACAGG